CAGUAGCCGCGGUAAUACGAAGGGGGCUAGCGUUGCUCGGAAUGACUGGGCGUAAAGGGCGCGUAGGCGGCGAUCAAAGUCAGGCGUGAAAUUCCUGGGCUCAACUCUGGAACUGCCUUUGAUACUGUCGAUCUGGAGUAUGGAAGAGGUGAGUGGAAUUCCGAGUGUAGAGGUGAAAUUCGUAGAUAUUCGGAGGAACACCAGUGGCGAAGGCGGCUCACUGGUCCAUUACUGACGCUGAGGUGCGAAAGCGUGGGGAGCAAACAGGAUUAGAUACCCGCGUAGUCCCUGUCUCUUAUAA
rnacentral:rRNA from 1 species